rnacentral:rRNA from 1 species
UGGGGAAUCUUGGGCAAUGGGGGAAACCCUGACCCAGCGACGCCGCGUGAGGGAAGAAGGUCUUCGGAUUGUAAACCUUUGUGACAGGGGACGAAGGAAGUGACGGUACCCUGAGAGGAAGCCCCGGCUAACUACGUGCCAGCAGCCGCGGUAAUACGUAGGGGGCGAGCGUUGUCCGGAAUUACUGGGCGUAAAGGGCGCGUAGGCGGUUAAUCAAGUCUGUUGUGAAAUUCCAAGGCUCAACUUUGGCAGUGCAAUGGAAACUGGUUGACUUGAGUACGGCAGAGGCAAGUGGAAUUCCCAGUGUAGCGGUGAAAAUUGCACAGAGAUUUGGGGAGGAACCACCAGUGGCGAAGGCGACUUGCUGGGCCGAAACUGACGCUGAGGCGCGAAAGCGUGGGGAGCAAACAGGAUUAGAUACCC